GGAUAGGGGUGAAAGGCCAAUCAAACCCGGAGAUAUCUCGUUCUCCCCGAAAUAGCUUUAGGGCUAGCGUCGCGCGUUCACCGCCGGAGGUAGAGCACCGGAUGGACGAGGGGGCUUCGCCGCCUACCGAAUCCAACCGAACUCCGAAUGCCGGCGGCCCAGAGCGCGGCAGUCAGAGCAUGUGGGCUAAGCUGUGUGCUCGAGAGGGAAACAGCCCGGACCGCCCGCUAAGGUCCCCAAGUUCCAGCCGAGUGGCAAAGGAUGUGCGUCCGCCCAGACAACCAGGAUGUUGGCUUAGAAGCAGCCAUCCAUUCAAAGAGUGCGUAACAGCUCACUGGUCGAGUGGACAUGCGCCGACAAUACACGGGGCUAAGCUGGACACCGAAGCGGCGGGAUUUUAAUUCAUUAGAAUCGGUAGGGGAGCUUCCCAUGGGCGGAGAAGCCGGAGGGCGACCGACGGUGGAGCGCAUGGGAGUGAGAAUGCUGGCAUGAGUAGCGAGAGACGAGAGAGUAACUCGUCCGCCGUGAACCCGAGGUUUCCUGGGCAAGGCUAAUCCUCCCAGGGUCAGUCGGGGGCUAAGGCGAGGCCGGUAGGCGUAGCCGACGCGCAGCAGGCAGACAUUCCUGCACCGCGCACGCGGCGCUACGACCGACGGGGCGACGGAUGGGGGUGGCUCGGCGGGGUUCUGGACGUCCCCGUGAUGGAGCGCGGCCCGCGGACCAGGGAAAUCCGGUCCGCAUCAAGGGCGAGGCUCCGGACGAAGCGAUUGAGCGAAGCGAGUGAGCCCGAGGUCCCUAGAAAAACCCCUAGGCAGGCGCGUGCGCGCCCGUACCGCAAACCGACACAGGUGGGUGGGUAGAACAUACCGAGGCGAUCGGGUCAACCAUGGUCAAGGAACUCGGCACAAUGGCCCCGUAACUUCGGGAGAAGGGGUGCCCGCGCGUACGUGAACCGGCUUGCCCGGGGAGCGGAGGCGGGCCGCAGUGGAGAGGCCCAAGCGACUGUUUACCAAAAACACAGGACUCUGCAGAAGCCGCAAGGCGACGUAUAGGGUCUGACGCCUGCCCGGUGCCGGAAGGUCACGCGGAGGAGUUAGCCGAUUCGGCGAAGCCCCGAAGCCAAGCCCCGGUAAACGGCGGCCGUAACUAUAACGGUCCUAAGGUAGCGAAAUUCCUUGUCGGGUAAGUUCCGACCUGCACGAAAGGCGCAACGACUUGGGCGCUGUCUCGACCAUGGACCCGGUGAAAUUGCACUGGUCGUGAAGAUGCGACUUACCCGCGGAAGGACGGAAAGACCCCGUGAACCUUCACUGCAGCUUGGCAUUGGCCGCUGGUCCCGCGUGUAGAGGAUAGGCAGGAGGCAUCGAUCCGGAGGCGCCAGCCCCCGGGGAGCCGCCCUUGGAAUACUGCCCUCGCGCGACCGGCGUCCUAACCCGAGGCCGUCAACCGGCUCGGGGACCGUGCCAGGCGGGCAGUUUGACUGGGGCGGUCGCCUCCUAAAGGGUAACGGAGGCGCGCGAAGGUCCGCUCGGGACGGUCGGCAACCGUCCUUUUGAAUGCAAGAGUACAAGCGGGCUUGACUGCGAGGCCCACAAGCCGAGCAGGUGCGAAAGCAGGCUCUAGUGAUCCGGCGGCCCCGAGUGGGUGGGCCGUCGCUCAACGGAUAAAAGGUACUCCGGGGAUAACAGGCUGAUCUUGCCCAAGAGUCCACAUCGACGGCAAGGUUUGGCACCUCGAUGUCGGCUCAUCGCAUCCUGGGGCUGGAGCAGGUCCCAAGGGUACGGCUGUUCGCCGUUUAAAGCGGUACGCGAGCUGGGUUCAGAACGUCGUGAGACAGUUCGGUCCCUAUC
rnacentral:rRNA from 1 species